CACACACACACACACACACACACACACACACACACACACACAAACUGUCUGGAAAACUGUUUUUAUACAGGCUUGUAAUACCUUCUUGCUAAAAAGACCAUUGAUUUCACAGGUUAUUUCAUUUGGAUGUAUUUUUUGCCUUUACCGAUGACUGACUUCCUUUUUGUCACACUUUAGACUGUUGUACGGUCACAUUGGAUUUGAAAGCAACAUCCUUUCUUCCAUACAUCCACGCUACCUGAAAGACGACAGCUUCCUGAAUCCAACGAUACCAGAUAUGUGCACAUCGGACCUCCGCUUCAAAAGAUACGGCCAGACUGUUG
rnacentral:lncRNA from 1 species